AGUGAAGAAGGCCUUCGGGUUGUAAAGCUCUUUUGUCAGGGAAGAAACGGUGUUUUCUAAUACAGAUUGCUAAUGACGGUACCUGAAGAAUAAGCACCGGCUAACUACGUGCCAGCAGCCGCGGUAAUACGUAGGGUGCAAGCGUUAAUCGGAAUUACUGGGCGUAAAGCGUGCGCAGGCGGUUUUGUAAGACUGUCGUGAAAUCCCCGGGCUCAACCUGGGAAUGGCGAUGGUGACUGCAAGGCUAGAGUUUGGCAGAGGGGGGUAGAAUUCCACGUGUAGCAGUGAAAUGCGUAGAUAUGUGGAGGAACACCGAUGGCGAAGGCAGCCCCCUGGGUCAAAACUGACGCUCAUGCACGAAAGCGUGGGGAGCAAACAGGAUUAGAUACCCUGGUAGUCCACGCCCUAAACGAUGUCUACUAGUUGUCGGGUUUUAAUUAACUUGGUAACGC
rnacentral:rRNA from 1 species